AAGAAAUUAGUUAAUUCAUAACAUUAGCAUGUCAUACUAAAAUUAUUACAAAGUAAUAUUUCUUU
rnacentral:tRNA from 1 species